AGGACGAACGCUGGCGGCGUGCUUAACACAUGCAAGUCGAACGGAAAGGCCCUUCGGGGUACUCGAGUGGCGAACGGGUGAGUAACACGUGAGCAAUCUGCCCCUAGCUCUGGGAUAGCUCCGGGAAACCGGGAUUAAUACCAGAUAUUACUACGGCCGACAUCAGCUGUGGUGGAAAGAAUUUCGGCUAGGGAUGAGCUCGCGGCCUAUCAGCUUGUUGGUGGGGUAAAGGCCCACCAAGGCGACGACGGGUAGCCGGCCUGAGAGGGCGACCGGCCACACUGGGACUGAGACACGGCCCAGACUCCUACGGGAGGCAGCAGUGGGGAAUAUUGCGCAAUGGGCGAAAGCCUGACGCAGCGACGCCGCGUGCGGGAUGAAGGCCUUCGGGUUGUAAACCGCUUUCAGCAGGGACGAAGCGAAAGUGACGGUACCUGCAGAAGAAGCGCCGGCUAACUACGCGCCAGCAGCCGC
rnacentral:rRNA from 1 species